UCUCUCUCUCCCCGGUCUCCGUGUCUGUCUCUCUCUCCCCGGUCUCCUGGUCUGUCUCUCUCUCCCCGUUCUCCGUGUCUGUCUCUCUCCCCCCGUUCUCCGUGUCUCUCUCUCUCCCCCCGUUCUCCGUGUCUGUCUCUCUCUCCCCCCGUUCUCCGUGUCUGUCUCUCUCUCUCCCCCCGUUCUCCGUGUCUGUCUCUCUCUCUCCCCCCGUUCUCCGUGUCUGUCUCUCUCUCUCCCCCGUUCUCCGUGUCUGUGUCUCUCUCUCUCUCUCUCUCCCCGUUCUCCGUGUCUGUGUCUCUCUCUCUCUCUCUCUCCCCGUUCUCCGUGUCUGUCUCUCUCUCUCUCUCUCCCCGUUUUCCGUGUCUGUCUCUCUCUCUCUCUCCCCGUUCUCCGUGUCUGUCUCUGUCUCUCUCUCUCUCUCCCCGUUCUCCGUGUCUGUCUCUCUCUCUCUCUCUCUCCCCGUUCUCCGUGUCUGUCUCUCUCUCUCUCCCCGUUCUCCGUGUCUGUCUCUCUCUCUCUCUCUCUCCCCGUUCUCCGUGUCUGUCUCUCUCUCUCUC